CUAUNCGGGAGGCAGCAGUGGGGAAUAUUGCACAAUGGGGGAAACCCUGAUGCAGCCAUGCCGCGUGUGUGAAGAAGGCCUUCGGGUUGUAAAGCACUUUCAGUUGUGAGGAAAAGUUAGUAGUUAAUACCUGCUAGCCGUGACGUUAACAACAGAAGAAGCACCGGCUAACUCCGUGCCAGCAGCCGCGGUAAUACGGAGGGUGCGAGCGUUAAUCGGAAUUACUGGGCGUAAAGCGCACGCAGGCGGUUUGUUAAGCUAGAUGUGAAAGCCCCGGGCUCAACCUGGGAUGGUCAUUUAGAACUGGCAGACUAGAGUCUUGGAGAGGGGAGUGGAAUUCCAGGUGUAGCGGUGAAAUGCGUAGAUAUCUGGAGGAACAUCAGUGGCGAAGGCGACUCCCUGGCCAAAGACUGACGCUCAUGUGCGAAAGUGUGGGUAGCGAACAGGAUUAGAUACCCUGGUAGUCCACACCGUAAACGCUGUCUACUAGCUGUUUGUGACUUUAAGUCGUGAGUAGCGAAACUAACGCGCUA
rnacentral:rRNA from 1 species